GGUGAACGUUGGCGGCGCGUCUAAUACAUGCAAGUCGAGUGGGUUUAGACCCACGGCGGACGGCUGAGUAACACGUUGGUAGCUGCCCCCCAUUCAGGGAUAACCCUUCGAAAGAAGGAUUAAUACCGGAUAGUCCCGCAAGGGUAAAGAUUUAUCGAUGGGGGAGGCGCCUGCGUCCUAUCAGUUAGUUGGUGAGGUAACGGCUCACCAAGACGAUGACGGGUAGCUGGUCUGAGAGGACGACCAGCCAGAGGGAAACUGAGACACGGUUCCCACUCCUACGGGAGGCAGCAGUGGGGAAUAUUGGACAAUGGGGGAAACCCUGAUCCAGCCAUGCCGCGUGAGUGCUAAGGCCUUCGGGUUGUAAAACUCUUUCGCGAGGGAAGAUAAUGACGGUACCUCGAGAAGAAGCUCCGGCUAACUUCGUGCCAGCCGCCGCCGUAA
rnacentral:rRNA from 1 species